UUAGUGGAAGCGUCUGGAAAGGCGCGCGAUACAGGGUGACAGCCCCGUACACAAAAGCGCAUGUGCUGUGAGCUCGAUGAGUAGGGCGGGACACGUGGUAUCCUGUCUGAAUAUGGGGGGACCAUCCUCCAAGGCUAAAUACUCCUGACUGACCGAUAGUGAACCAGUACCGUGAGGGAAAGGCGAAAAGAACCCCGGCGAGGGGAGUGAAAAAGAACCUGAAACCGUGUACGUACAAGCAGUGGGAGCCCCACCACCAAAGCAUUCUCUGGUGUUGAAGGCCCUGCAAAGCAGCAUCGCGGUGGCGGAGCGUCGUUUGCGACGCCCAACACACAAAACAAGCGGUGAGUGCUUUGGGGUGGGGUGACUGCGUACCUUUUGUAUAAUGGGUCAGCGACUUAUAUUCUGUAGCAAGGUUAACCGAAUAGGGGAGCCGGAGGGAAACCGAGUCUUAAYYGGGCGUUAAGUUGCAGGGUAUAGACCCGAAACCCGGUGAUCUAGCCAUGGGCAGGUUGAAGGUUGGGUAACACUAACUGGAGGACCGAAC
rnacentral:rRNA from 1 species